GAAAAAGUGUUAAACUCUAUUAACGUAAAAUUAUUUUUGCGGAUUUAUAUUAUGAGGUUUGAACUAUACUAAUAUUGUAGAAUUACAUAAUCAACAUCUGAACAUACUUACGUUAAACAUUAAUUGAGCCACUGAGUAAUAGAUAAGUGGUACACUAGGUACGGGGCGACGGGUGUGGUCGAUGUAAGACGGGAGUGGUGUUCUAACCAAGUGCUGAGAAAUAAGGUAGAUUUAUUUAGUUCUUUUAAUUCAUUUAUACAAGUACUUCCCGGUUAUUGAUUUUGGUUUGAUUGUUCAGAUAACAUCAUUGAAAUUAAACAGGAGGUCAAGGUAUACUAACAUUAGAAUCUGUUUUCAUUAUGGGGAACAAUGAAAGGCCCGCAGAGUGGAUUGCAGGUUUUUAUGUUAAAGGGACAGUGCACAUUUAUCACAGUUGUGUGUGUGUCUAAAUGGCUGGGUAUUUAAGAAGUAUUUUGGGGAGACAAUUUGGAGAAACACGAAUAAGACAUGAAUAAUAAGACAUGAAACAUCGAGACAAAUUAUUUAAGUUUGAGGGGAUUAUCAUAAUAAUAAGGGGAUUUCCAUGUUCCCAGAGACAUGAUAUUUUAAAGAGGCACGCUCACAUAUGGAACCUUUAUGAGUUUUUUAUUUUAUGAGUUUUAAUUACACGAGUGAUUUUUAUUUUUUAAGGAUAAAGGGUUCUUUAAUAUGUCUAAUAUGGUAUGGAACACGGAAUGUAGGGGGAUGGUGUAACCUUUGACCUGCUUUCAUGGCUCUCUCGGGUGGUCUGAUCAGCCACAAGGGGGUGCCAUUUGAAUAAUGAAUCUGUGGUCAUGGGUAAUACUGUUUAAAAAAAAAAAUAAUAAUAAAAAAAAAAAAUGUUUUUGAAUUUAAUUUAUUUUUUAAGGUAACUUAAUUAUAGUGGAGUUUAAUUAACCUAUAUAAAGGCUUUAGAAAUUGCCACCAUAGACAUGUUUUUCUAAAAAAAAAAAAAAUUUUUUUUAAAUCCAUGAGUUUAGAUAAAGCGAAACAGUGAGACAUUUAGUUAAAAUGUGGAAACAUGGGAAAAGGCAGACAGAAGAGCCCUCCUCCGCACUGCAGAGACCUUGAAGGUUGGAGAGCAGAGAGGAGAAGUUUUAGAAGGGAGCCAGGACGAGCAAAGAUAACAGAAUGUGUAGAUAACAGUCACUGAGUGGAGACAAAAGGGAGAAUUGGACAUGUGGAAAAUUAAAGGGGCGCUCCUACAUGAUAAUGUCAGAACAGAAGGAUAAUAUACUAAUCUUACCUAAGUCAUUAUUUAGAGUAGGUAAGGUUGUUACCUGGGCAGAGCCAGGUAUCAAAAGGGGGAUAGGUAAAUUGUGGUCUAGGAUAGGAUGGGGCCUAUUGGAUAAGAAACAAUUGUGGUCUAGGAUAGGAUGGGGCUUAUUGGAUAAGAAACUAAUAAUUUAAAAAAAAAUGUAGCUAAACAAAUGGGCAUAGAAGGUAAAGAUAUAAUCAGAUAAAACAUAUGAGAAACUGUUUGUUAACCAAGCCUGUAUGUCCAGCAUUUUAUGCAUUAUAGGUGAACUACAGGUGAAGUCACUCAAUCCAGUCCCAGAGGCUUGUUGGGGGGACCAUACCAAGGUCUCCUGGUGACAGCCAGCUGAAAGAGCUACUCGGAUUCAUAUCGCACGGCGUGAGGGUAAGACACGUUUACACUGUCGAACAAUAAACAGUGUUCGAGAGGAGAACUGGAAUUAACAGAAUUCCGGGGGCCAUCUCUCGAAUGAAGUAACCCUCCCUGUCCUGUCACCCCUGUUUUUGUUCAUAGAAGUGGGGAUGUGUCUGGCUCUUGCUGAGUGAUGUGUUCUCGGGGAAAGGGUGGGGCUUCACAUGGAAGCUGUUUGUCUGAGCUGUCUUAUCGUGGGUGACAUCCCAAAUAACACAGCUCCGGACGAAUCAGUGCCCGAAGCCUCAGCUGGUUUGACCACCCUGGCUCACGGGUUGACAGAAAACUCUGGGGUGGAUACUUCUCUGAUUAAUUGGGUUUGAUAAUAUGUUCAGAAAAUGGGGAAAAUAUUAUGAUCACUGUAUUAUGGGCUACAUUCACCUGUGUGACUGUUUUAGUUUUAUGGAGCUGUUGUCUAAUUCCCUGUGUAUGAGGCCUUAUUUCCAGGACUCUGGAGAAAUCGAUGGAAAUAGAUGGUGAUGUACCAGCGGAUUCCAGGUUCUGACCCGUGGAGUGCUGAAUGUAUGUCUACAGAACAAGUGGACGAAAAUUAUAAAUUAAAUUGUAUUAAAUUGGGAGGGUGUCCGUAUGGGGAUUACAUGAUAACCGACUUGGGACAGUUCUGGGAUUGGAGAAGAGGGUAUCCUUAUAGCAUGGGGGAUCCCACAAAGGUGGAUAGGUUUUCCAUGAUAUGGGGAAAACCUGGGAGCACUGUUGAACUUUGUAAAGGUGAUGAAAUCCUACUAACCAUCAAAACUAUUAAGCUCUCUGAAAGGACUGGGACAGACACGAUGGGUGUGUAUUCUAUUAAGGUGCUGCCAAAACCAGAGGUCCCAGACGAACCAGGGCCAGACACACUCCUCUACCACCCCUGGACCGAACCUGCCACCACUGUGUUAAAAAUCCCAUUCAGGUAAUUAAUGUUAGAGACUAUUCAGCUAUUGAUCAAUUAGGCACUGAGACUGGUUUUGAUGGUAGGGACAAUUUGUGGCUGUCUUAUAUGAGGUAUACAGCUAAGACCCUGAAAAGAAAGGACUGCAUGAGUUACAUGAAACAUUGGUCAUGCUAGACCUGUUCUGGCUACACACCCAUUUUCUAUAGGAGAAGGAGAGGGGUGGUUGUGUAUUCUGAGAGGUUUUUACCAGGUUCAGCCCAAUUCAACUCUCUGUUCCUCUUUGAGCCUUGUGUCUCCUACAGUACCUCCUCAUCGGGCCCCUUGGGGUGUUAAGGCAUAUGGGGGCAAUUACAGUUGCAUCACGGGUACAGGCCUAAACCAAACUAGUGGUCUGGCUGAUGUGUGGUGGAUCUGUGGACCCAAAAGAGUGCUGAGACCCAUUCUUAGAGGAGACUGGCAAGGUACGUGUGCUCUGACCAGUUUGAUAAUUCCACUGACCAUUGUUGAUGUUACUGCUGAACAGCUGUUGGGUUCUGUAUCCAGGGGACCUGAAAACAUUCCAUUCCAUGGGAGACAUAGACGUAGUGCUACAUGGACAGAGGAUGUAGUUGACAUACACACUAACCUGUUGGGAGUGCCAGUGGGGGUUCCUCAUGAGUUUCAGGUCUUGGGUAGGAAUGAUGGAUUAUAGGUCCAGCCGUAGUGGAUGCAAGGCAGACUGCAUGGACUCAUUACAUCUACUAUGAUCAACAGCGUUUUGUUAAUUACCCCCGUGAUGCACUCACUGGUAUGUCUGAACAGUUUGAGGCCACAUCUAGGGUUGCCAGACAGAAUAGAUGUUCGGUGAACAAUGUUGCACGUAUAUUCCUAAUAACACCAGUCCAGAUGGUAGUAUAUCUAAGGCCCUUAGUGGGCUUGAUGCACUUGAUGCACUAUCUGCUGAGAUGAGGACCAUGGCGGGGGUGGAGGAGUCUGGCCUGUUCUCUUGGUUGAGAGCCUGUUUUGGUAAGUACACUAGUAUGGUGGUUACUGGAUUUCUGACCCUAAUUCUUGUAUUUUUGUUAUUGAUGUGUUGUGCUGCUUGCAUCAUACCGUGUUUUAAGAAGUCUGUUACAGAUGUGGUGAAGGCUUCAGGCAUGAUGAUGCCUUUGCUUGAUGCUCCAGUUGGAGAUGCUGAUACUGAAGCAUGCUUUCAGGGGAGGAUGAGACUGACUGAGGAUGACCCAUGGUAUGCUGUGGGUGAGGUAGUAGAAUAAAUCUUACACCACCACAGUUCCUUGUUAUACAUUUUUUAUGAUAGGUUUUCUUUCCAGUAUGUUUGUUCUCCCUGUUGUGAAGGUUUCGAGUCCCUGGGUGGCAUGAAGCCCAACUGGUGCAGGAUAGGAGUAGCUGAGAGGACCAGAUGGUUUAUAAUAAUGCUUUGCUCUGCUUUACUCUGUUUUCCAUGACCAAAGUUUUAUCCUGUAUCUUACAUAUCAAUAAACAAUAAAGUGUUAUCCUGCUUUUGCUGAGUGACACCCUAGCGGGUGUCAAAAGGGGGACUUAAAUUUCACACCAUUUUCUCUUACCACUAGGGUUAUCUCUAGAGCUAUUGACCCUUCCUCCCCUUCCCAGAUGUUUCCUCUGCUUGACAAUGACCUGCCAGAAUUUGAGGAUGAGGUUGAGAGUGCCUACUAGGUUUUGUCACAUCUCUUUGGAGAUGUGAAGAGAGGGAAUCACAACUUUUUCCCGGUUGGUAAAAAGUUGCCUUGUGUGUUUUAUAUGCCUAUUUUGCAGCAGAGUGUUGGGGUUCUCCCUAAUAAGGGUUUUAAGUUCCUAGGUGGCUGGUAGCCAACUUAGUACAAGGUAUGUGGAGAACUGGGUGGUUUUACUUACUUUUCUCAAAUGUAUUAUACUAUGCUUAUUAUGCUGUGGUUUGUCACACCUCUUCGGAGGUGUGAAGAGAGGGAUUUGUAGAAGAUAAAUAGAACGCAGUUUAGUUUUACCUUAUUUGCCCUAUUACCACAAGCUGAGCUGCUAUAACACAUUACACCCUCCUUCACACAUACUCAAGGUCAACACACACAGACACUGGAACAUCCUGUUCUCUACAUAACAGCGAGCGGCCUAACCACAAAGCGCCAUUGAGGGGUUGCUGAGUCUGAUACACUAUCUCGUGACAAACACCAGCUGCAGAGGCACCCCAACCCUGAGAAAGAGGAACACACACGCACACACCUAAUCUCCUUUUUAGCUGAACAUUGUGUGACCAAGGACAGGUACGACGAGACUCUAUGAUGACAGAUGGUCCAACUGAGCCAAUACAAGAAGACUACACUCCAGCCUGAACCAAUCCGAAGACCCGAUCUUCUAGAAUCAACCUACUUUCUGUUCUGUAUAUAAUACAUGUGCACACUGUUAGCGGGGCUUCUUUCUGGAGGUUCCUUAUGAGCUGAAUGAACGGGCCCGUAUACGCUGUACCAGAUAUCUUCACUCUGAAUAAACUGUCGCUUGUCAUACAAUCUACCGCUUUGUCCGAAUCGAUCCUUGACCGGCUCACUCACCUGCACAUCCCAG
ensembl:lncRNA